rnacentral:tRNA from 1 species
UCCCUGGUAGCUCAGACAGUAAAGUGUCUGCCUCCCAUGCGGGAGACCCAGGUUCGAUCCCUGGAUCGGGAA